UACAGAGGUCUCAAGCGUUGUUCGGAUUCAUUGGGCGUAAAGGGUGCGUAGGCGGCGCGGUAAGUCGGGUGUGAAAUCUCGGAGCUUAACUCCGAAACUGCAUUCGAUACUGCCGUGCUUGAGGACUGGAGAGGAGACUGGAAUUUACGGUGUAGCGGUGAAAUGCGUAGAUAUCGUAAGGAAGACCAGUGGCGAAAGCGACUUCCUGGACCAGUACCGACGUCAGGCACGAAAGCGUGGGGAGCAAACAGG
rnacentral:rRNA from 1 species